GACUGCUUGGCGCAAUGGUAGCGCGUCGACCUCCUACUCGCAUGUAUGAAAGUCGAAGGUUGCGGGUUCGAGUCCCGUGGUGGUCG